AACGAGAAGACUUUAGAUAUGAUCCAGAGUACCACGGGACACGUGAAACCCUGUGGGAAGCAGGAGGGACCACCCUCCAAGGCUAAAUACUACCUAGUGACCGAUAGCGUAUAGUACCGUGAGGGAAAGGUGAAAAGAACCCCGGGAGGGGAGUGAAAUAGAACCUGAAACCCUGCACUUACAAGCUGUGGAAGCACAUUUCUUGUGUGACCGCGUACUUUUUGUAGAACGGGCCAACGAGUUACGUUAAGUAGCAAGGUUAAGCACUUAAGGUGUGGAGCCGUAGCGAAAGCGAGUUUUAACUGAGCGUUCAGUUACUUGACGUAGACCCGAAACCGGGCGACCUACCCAUGAGCAGGAUGAAGCGAAAGUAAAAUUUCGUGGAGGUCCGAACCCACGAGCGUUGAAAAGCUCGGGGAUGACUUGUGGGUAGCGGUGAAAUUCCAAUCGAGCCCGGAGAUAGCUGGUUCUCCCCGAAAUAGCUUUAGGGCUAGCCUCAAGGUGAGAGAUACGGAGGUAGAGCACUGAAUGUCCUAGGGGGUAUUGCACCUACCGAAGACUAUCAAACUCCGAAUGCCGUCAUCUUAUACUUGGGAGUCAGACUGUGGGUGAUAAGAUUCAUAGUCGAAAGGGCAACAGCCCAGAUCGUCAGCUAAGGUCCCUAAAUGUAAGUUAAGUGGUAAAGGAUGUGGGAUUGCACAGACAACCAGGAUGUUGGCUUAGAAGCAGCCACUCAUUCAAAGAGUGCGUAAUAGCUCACUGGUCGAGUGAUCCUGCGCCGAAGAUUUCCGGGGCUAAAACUUACUACCGAAGCUACGGCAUCAGUAAUGAUGGGUAGGGGAGCUUCCCAUACGGGUUGAAGCAUGACCGUAAGGACAUGUGGACAGUAUGGGAGUGAGAAUGUUGGCAUGAGUAGCGAGAUGUGGGUGAGAAUCCCACAGGCCGUAAACCCAAGGUUUCCAG
rnacentral:rRNA from 1 species